AACUUACUCUCUUUUGGGACGUAGUCGCUUUGGCGGCCUGUUCGAGUGUUACUUUUGUCAACAACAAGUUUGAUUUUUCCUAUAGUCUGAAAAAUCAGACGAGGAAACAACCUUAAUUAAAAGCAGUUGCGACGGUUCUUAAAUACAUGUAUUCAAUGGGACCUAGCAU
rnacentral:rRNA from 1 species